rnacentral:lncRNA from 1 species
AUGCCAGCAAUAUGCCUGCAGACUGGCACUGUCCUUCCUGAAGCCCUAAAGGUCCUGACAAAGAGCAUAAGGGAAUCCUGGAGGCAGGAAAGAGAGGAUGGAACACAGACUCUGGAGUCAGCCAGCACUGUGCAGCUCUGCCUUUCCUCUGCAGGAUCAAACAGAUUGACUGUGAUUGUGCAAAGAGCCUUAGACACACAGUAGGGCAAGACAUGAUAAUUUGCCUUCAAUUCUCCAAUACCAGAAACCAAUUGUGGUCAUCAGCGGGGCACCAAACUUCUGGAACUGAAAAGUAAUAAUGAUGGUUAAAAUAAAAUGCUCUUUUUAAAGUAAAUGUGCAUGAAUAGUAAUAUAAAAAAUGGGAAAGUCUAGCUUGGAGACUUGCUUAUUCUGUUUGGAUUCUAGUCUUUUGCUUAUUCCACUGUAAAUUGAGAAUGGGUAAAUGUUUCACCAUGGACACAGCUGCAUAUGCUGAAUAUAGAUUUUCCAAUGCUUGAUUUUCCAUUAGAGUUUACAUUUCUGAGCUUAAUGCCUGAGGGGACAGCCUGACUAAUACUUUAUAUCAUUUGUGAGUUCACUUUUUAAAGCUGAGUUUAAAAGAUAGGAAGUAAAAAAAAAUAAAUAAAUAAAAUAAAAAAAAAUAAAAGAUAGGAAGUGAGAUUUAGAAACUAAAAGAAUAAAGAAACUUAAAGCAAGAAAACCGUGGUCCCAGAUUAUUCUGAUUUAUUAAAUUGACAGUUUUUCAAAUUCCUAAUUUGUCCUCAUCUUUGCUCUUUACUGACAAGAAAAUUAUUUCCAUAGGAAAACAAUUGGUUAUCUGCAUAGCAAUUACAUAGGUUGCAGUGACUAAAUUGUAAACUUCUUGGAACUAAAAAUACUAAGUUUUCAAACAUGGAGAAAUGGAAAUAAUAGUGACUUUGAGGAUCUACUUUAUGCCAGGUACUCUACUAAGUAAUUCUGAGUGUAUCAUUUCAAAGCCACUACCAUUGCAUGGUAUUACUAACCUAUUUCACAGAUGAGACACAUCGGGUCUGGUUGACUCACCCAAGACCACAUGGAUGGUGAGAGGGGUGGCGUCAUGAAUCAAAUUGUCAUUGUAGGGCCCUGCCAACUACAUUAUGCUGCCUUCCUCUCCAGAGGUAAUGGAAAUACACCUAUAUUUGGAGCCAAAGUUAGAUUUAAGGCCUACGUCAUUACUUGUAAGUGUUCAAAGUUCAGUCAAGACGUACCACUCUCUGACAUUUAAUUUCUUCAUCUGCAAAAUGAGAACGCUAACACCUAUGUCACAGGGCAUUAUGAAGGUUAAAUGAACUCCUAUGAUUUGUGAAAGUGGUUUUUUAGGUGCCAAAGGCCAUCAAAAGAAAGGUGUUUGAGAGAUGGGAAUGCUGUCCCUUAUUGCAGUGAGCCCACCCACCUCUCAGAAUUGCCAUGAGGAGUCAUUGGAUGCUGGGUGUCAAAGUCAGUACAAGCCCAUGCAGCAGCAAAAGAAAUAGGAGUUUUAAACAUUCUUAGGAGCUUUGCAAAGCUCAAGCACUUAAAAAAGAGUUCUUAUAAACAGUUUUUCUAAGGUAGCUAGUGUAACCUUUCAGAGUUGCAGAAGCUUAGAGGAUAUCCUCUAACUCUAGUUUGGGAAAUUAAGACUCAAAUAGGACAAAAUAUUUAAUAGAAUACACCCCACAUUGGAUUUGUGAGGAACCACAGAGAAUACAUGGAGCCAAACUAGAGUUUUGAGGAUGACUCAAGUGAGAUCUAGAUACACAGGUAAUCAAGAGCACGGUGAGGACCAGAGUCAGGUGUCCUGACUCUGAGUGUGCUGUUUCUCCACUGCAUUCAUUGUUCUUAUAAAUUCAUUCAAACUCCAGGAAUGCCAUUGACAACCAAGUUAGUGACAAAGUAUUAGCUGACAAGCCCACAAGUCGAGAUCUAUAUGGGUUUAUAUUUACUGUGUGACCUUGGAAAAGUUGCUUUUCAGUGUCCUUAUUUGUAAAAUGAGUUAUAAUAAUGCCAACUUCAUAGAUUAUAGUGAAAAGAAUAUAUUAAAAGCUCUAAGCACAGUGCAGGUAAGUGCUCACUGCUUGUCAUUUACUAUAUAAUCAUACUCUACAUGCCAUAAAACUCCAGAAUGUGCCUCCCCUGUUUAUAGAACCCCCAAGCAAGCAGGGAGCCUACCAGGAGAUAGCCUGGGUGUAGCCUGGACCGAUCAGUCUGCUUAUUCACAUUUUAUCCAGUUUGAAGCAAUCAUAACAUGCAGGCUUAGGCUUAGGAAAGAGGAGUAGAAAUGAUGCACUCAUUCUGAGCAUUGGAGCCUGAGCCCCCAUAUCUUAUCUACAAAUAAGGAUAUUAACAUCUAUUCUUUUCCACUCUGAGGUACUCAAAGCUGUCAGUUUCAAUAAUAAGUGCAUCAUAAACUAUUCAUUGCUAUAUAAAUGUAAAGCAUAUAAAGCAAAGAGAAGAAAUGAUAGUGGUUUUCUCUCUGUGUUAAUAAGCCACAGUCUCUCAUUUGAGUGGCUUUUUACUUCUUUUCUUAUACUCAGCACUUGGGGGAUUCAGUUUCAGGAAUAAUGAGGUAGCAUUCUAUUAAUUACGUCUGAUCUAAUGACCACGAACCUAAGUGUUUGCUCACCUCUAGUAAGAAAAACAUAGUCCUUUCCUUAGAACCUGAGAUCCUUUCUAAAUAAAUUACGAAAGUCUUUUCAAUAGCCUGCUUGUUCUUUGUACACAGUUGCUUAGAUUCUGGAUUAUCUUAAAGCCCUGCUAGCCAGCUACCUGCUUUGUGUAUUGUCCCAAUAACUUACCCUUUGAUUUCAUGUUUCUUUCAAAAGCGUCAAAGCAGUAGGCAAAUAUUACUCAUCAAACAGGUUUGAUGAUGUUCUGCUAAAUUUAGCUUUCUUUUUUUCUUUUGUGGCUCAGUCACAUCUAUUCUCAGGGCUAUGGCCUACAUGAGCUAUGAGGACUCUGGGCCCUUCUGCUUCCAGUGAGCAAUCCGAGGGCUCCAGAGCUUCCUUUUUGGCUGACUAUACCAUUUAGAAUUUGCUUUACCGUUGCCUCUUUCCAUCGCCAUCACUUCCUCAGGGUUGUCCUGAAAUAGGCGUCCAUCUACAUCUCUUCCAGGAGCUUUAAUGCUUAAAGAACUAACUGCAGGGCUCAUGAGUCUGCGUUAGCUAAGUGUUUUGGUGUCUAACUAAAUAUGGUUUCUUUACAUUCAACCCGAGGAAGUUGUGGUCAGUGUUUGCCUCAGCCUCCUCCUGAGCCUCCUCUGCCAACCCCAUGCUUUCCGCCCACCCACGUCCUACACUGGCUGAUGUGGGGCCAUGAGUAUAGAGUAGCUGUCUGUAAAGUACUCUCAUUGUCAUAGUCCAAUCUUCCCUGUCCUCUCUUUCCUCCCUUCCUCCAUUCAACUGCCCACUUACAAACACACAAAUCCCAUUAGCUUCCUCCCCUGGGAGCAGCUGGCCCAGCUAAGGAAGAAAUGAGGUAGCAGAGAGACUCCAACAUGAACUUCUUCCAAUGAUUUCAGCCCCAAAGGAGUAACAAAAACCACAGUUGGAGGCUGACCAACUAUUUAUCACUCCACAUGUAUGGUAAAUGGUCUCUGCUGAUAAUUCCUGCUUCCAAUUAAUGAGGUGAGAAUUGGAGGAUCCAGGAGCUAAAGUGACAGACUAUCUGACUCCAACAGUAGGGCUACUUUCAGAAGAAACAAGUAGAUUGAUCCCACAGCACUAAUCAAUGUGCUAAUAUUUAAUCUGUUGAAAAUAAACAUUUGUCAUCCCUCAGGUGAAAUACACCUUGCUUAAUCUUUUUUCCCUUCCUAUUUGUCAAUAUUUCAUUAACACAAGUUUUUCUUAACUGAAAAAGUAUUCUCAUUUAUGGUUUGGUUUUCAUGAAAGUACAUUAUGAUAAGAUGUACCUGAAAUUAGUAUUAUAAGCACAGCAGUAUGAUAUCACUUUAUGGGGCCACCCCUGAGAUCAUGAUCUGGGGGGUAAAUCUGAGCUUAAAACGGUGUUAUAGCUCUUCCUUUUGUGGCUUUAUUUACUUCCAAUUCAGAGGCCUCCUGAAAUAACUACAGCAAUUUAACAGAAUUUCUAGGCCCUCUGGAUUAUAUGAAGACAGAUGCUAAAGGUUACUUUUCAGUGGAGAAAAGUUUUGCUUAUUAAUGUGUCUAGGUAACUACACUGCCUCCAGCAGAGCUUGAUGGAAUAAGACCUCUGACAACAGACUCCACACUGUCCCCUAACCCACACCCCUUUUAAAGCCAGCAAUAUUGAUAGGAAAGAGGCAGUAGAAAGCAUAGUCUUCCAAUAAAAGACUCAGAUGUUCAAAACUGGCUCUGUCACACCAUCUAUAUAACUUAGGACAGGUUAUCUAACAUCUCUCUUUCCUCCCCUGUAUACAUGAAUAUUAGUAGUGCUUUUCUCUCAGGUCUAUUUUGAGGAUAUGAGUAUAUAUAUAUAUACAUAUGUGUAUAUAUAUAUACACUAUUAUACAUAAAUAUGUACAUAUAUAAAUACACGAUACAUACACAUACAUAUAGUAGUACUCAAUAAAUGUUCCAUAUUGUUAUUAUUGCUAAUAUGUAUUAAGUGUCAACUAUACACCAGUACAAUGCUAAGGAUUUUACAGGGAUAUAUUCAUUUAUUUCUUAUAACCAUCCUGAGGUGUAAGCAGUACUCUUUUGCAAGAUGAAGGCAGCAGAGGUCAAGAUGACUUGCAUUAGGUCACACAGUUCAUAAGCCACAGAAGUAGCCUGGAACUCAGACCUU